GCCGAGGUAGCUCAGUUGGUAGAGCAGCCGAUUUGUAAUCGGCCGGUCGCAGGUUCAAAUCCUGUCCUCGGCU
rfam:Parcubacteria bacterium GW2011_GWA1_47_10 TX71_C0005, whole genome shotgun sequence.